ACACGUGCCACCUGGUUGUGAAGCAGCCUGAGGUGCCCCAGGGGCAGGAGACCCUCUCUGGCCCCCAGGCUGCCUCCCUGGUGCUGGCCUCGGAGAGGACGUUCUCCCACCCGUCCCUGCAGCAGCCGUCACUUCAGACCUGGCCUUGAACCUCUGCCCAGGGUCCAGGUGCCUCAGACCCUUCGUUCGUGGGCAUUUUCUUUUCCUCGAGCUACCAAAAGAUGCCUUUGUCCUUGAGGUCUGGUUACAAAUCAAGCCCUGUGCCAUUCCUGGCUGGUGUCGUUCCUCUGGGGAAGAAGGCAGCUCUGCUGAACCAGCUACAUCCCUUGGCCCGGCAGGAGGCAGGACGAGGGAGUGAGCUGCGCAAAGAACACAUCCACCUGGGCUUGCUCCUCCGAACACCUUCAACACUCUCAGCCUCCUCUCCCACUCCGUUCUCCUCUUCUGAGCUUUCCCGAAUCACCAGUGCGUGGAGGCGGCCUCUCGUUCCUGUCCACCUCAUCACAGGCCGACACCCUAAUCACAGACAACGGAAACGGCUCCUGGACUCAGAUUCCAGAGGCUCCAAGGCCCUCGGUCCUGGCCAGGCCCCUCCAUGGUCACAGCAGUGA
rnacentral:lncRNA from 1 species